rnacentral:rRNA from 1 species
AAGGCGUUUCGCUAACCGCAAGGAGGCAGACGACCACGGUAGGGUCAGCGACUGGGGUGAAGUCGUAACAAGGUAGCCGUAGGGGAACCUGCGGCUGGAUCACCUCCUUUCUAAGG